AGCAGCCGCGGUAAUUCCAGCCCCAAUAGCGUAUAUUAAAGUUGUUGCAGUUAAAAGCUCGUAGUUGAAUUUCGGGAUUGACACAUCGGUCGUGCCUUAAGGGGUAUGAACUGGUGUAGUCAAUUUCUCACCUUCUGGAGAACCGCGAUGCCCUUAAUUGGGUGUCGCGGGGAACCAGGACCUUUACUUUGAAAAAUUAGAGUGUUUAAAGCAGGCAUUUUGCUUGAAUACAUUAGCAUGGAAUAAUAAAAUAGGACGGCAUGAUUCUAUUUUGUUGGUUUCUAGGAUCACCGUAAUGAUUAAUAGGGAUAGUUGGGGGCAUUAGUAUUCAAUUGUCAGAGGUGAAAUUCUUGGAUUUAUUGAAGACUAACUACUGCGAAAGCAUUUGCCAAGGAUGUUUUCAUUAAUCAAGAACGAAAGUUAGGGAUCGAAGACGAUCAGAUACCGUCGUAGUCUUAACCAUAAACUAUGCCGACUAGGAAUCAGACGAUGUUAAUUUUUAAUGUACUCGUUUGGCACC
rnacentral:misc_RNA from 1 species